AACGAACGCUGGCGGCAGGCUUAACACAUGCAAGUCGAACGCCCUAGCAAUAGGGAGUGGCGCACGGGUGAGUAACGCGUGGGAAUAUACCAUAUAGUGGGGAAUAACGUUGGGAAACUAACGCUAAUACCGCAUACGCCCGAGAGGGGAAAGAUUUAUCGCUAUAAGAUUAGCCCGCGUGAGAUUAGGUAGUUGGUGGGGUAAUGGCCUACCAAGCCGACGAUCUCUAGCUGGUCUGAGAGGAUGAUCAGCCACACUGGAACUGAGACACGGUCCAGACUCCUACGGGAGGCAGCAGUGGGGAAUAUUGGACAAUGGGGGAAACCCUGAUCCAGCCAUGCCGCGUGAAUGAUGAAGGCCUUAGGGUCGUAAAGUUCUUUCGCCGAUGAAGAUAAUGACGGUAGUCGGAGAAGAAGCCCCGGCUAACUUCGUGCCAGCCGCCGCGGUAAUAC
rnacentral:rRNA from 1 species